CUUAGCACAAAGCAGCUCGGCUCGACCUUGUUUCAACUAAUCCCUUCUCUGUAUUUAACAAGAGGAACUGGAAGAGUCAGACAGUGUGUGGGAAGACUGAAGAAAAUAAGGAAGGGCAGGUCUCGAUGGCAGAAAGAUGGACACUUCUCAGGUCUAGUUGUUGCAUGGUGUGUUCCUGACCACAGCUGUACCCAAGGAGUCUCACAGAUUCCUCAGGAGGCAACAGGACGUUUAUCAACGAAGAUGCCUUUGACGCUCAUCCUGACUCCUGACUGAUGAAUUAUUUGGUCGACUGAGGCAGAAUCACCUUUACUGGAGCAUAAUCUGUUGGAGGCAGCAUCUCCUGAAGUCUCCAUGAGUUGCUGGAAUGAAGAUGCAAGAGGAAAUUUGGAGAUGUUGCUUGAAAGUUUAAAGUAUUGGUGUUACCGAACCAUUAGAAUAUUACAUAUGGACAACGCCCAUCCAUUAGAAUAUUACGUAUGGACAACAUGGUGGAACAUUUCGAAUAAGUGUCUAUGCUCUAUGUACCUUACUGUGCUUUCCACAAGGUUGAUUCUUCUAUGUCUUGGUUGGAAUAAAAGGAAGAUAUGUGCAUUACUAGAAGCAACGUACAACGAGAGAGCAAAGGAAAGUAGCUCAGACCCAAGGAAGAUCAAAUUAAGG
rnacentral:lncRNA from 1 species